AUGUCAAAUCAUCAUGCCCCUUACGCCUUGGGCUUCACACGUGCUACAAUGGUCUCUACAAAGUGAUGCAAGACAGUGAUGUGGAGCGAACCACAAAAAGAGACCCCAGUUCGGAUUGUAGGCUGCAACUCGCCUGCAUGAAGUUGGAAUCGCUAGUAAUCGCGGAUCAGCAUGCCGCGGUGAAUACGUUCCCGGGCCUU
rnacentral:rRNA from 1 species